rnacentral:tRNA from 1 species
AGCCCUGUAAAUAGGAUUGCAAAUCUAGCACGCCGAUUAGUUAUCAGCCGGGGCUU